rnacentral:rRNA from 1 species
UACAGAGGGUGCGAGCGUUAAUCGGAAUUACUGGGCGUAAAGCGUGCGUAGACGGUUAUGUAAGUCUGAUGUGAAAGCCCACGGCUCAACCGUGGAGGGUCAUUGGAAACUGGGGGACUUGAGUGCAGGAGAGAAGAGUGGAAUUCCACGUGUAGCGGUGAAAUGCGUAGAGAUGUGGAGGAACACCAGUGGCGAAGGCGACUCUUUGGCCUGUAACUGACGCUGAGGCGCGAAAGCGUGGGGAGCAAACAGG